rnacentral:rRNA from 2 species
GAGUUUGAUCCUGGCUCAGAACGAACGCUGGCGGCGGGCCUAACACAUGCAAGUCGCACGAGAACGUCCUGCUUCGGUGGGGCAAGUAAAGUGGCGCACGGGUGAGUAACACGUGAGUAAUCUAUCUAUGGGUUGGGGAUAACGCACCGAAAGGUGUGCUAAUACCGAAUAAGACCACGAUGGUUGCGGCCAUUGCGGUCAAAGGGGGCCUCUCCUUGGAAGCUUCCGCCUAUUGACGAGCUCGCGUCCCAUUAGCUAGUUGGUGAGGUAACGGCUCACCAAGGCCGCGAUGGGUAGCUGGUCUGAGAGGAUGAUCAGCCACACUGGGACUGGAACACGGCCCAGACUCCUACGGGAGGCAGCAGUGAGGAAUCUUGCGCAAUGGGGGAAACCCUGACGCAGCCACGCCGCGUGGGUGAAGAAGGCCUUCGGGUCGUAAAGCCCUGUCAGGUGGGAAGAACCGCAUUGGACUGAAUAAGCCCUUUGCCUGACGGUACCACCAAAGGAAGCACCGGCUAACUCCGUGCCAGCAGCCGCGGUAAUAC